AUUGAACGCUGGCGGCAUGCUUUACACAUGCAAGUCGAACGGUAACAGGUCUUCGGAUGCUGACGAGUGGCGAACGGGUGAGUAAUGCAUCGGAACGUGCCCAGUCGUGGGGGAUAACGAAGCGAAAGCUUUGCUAAUACCGCAUAAGAUCUAAGGAUGAAAGCAGGGGACCGCAAGGCCUUGCGCGAACGGAGCGGCCGAUGGCAGAUUAGGUAGUUGGUGGGAUAAAAGCUUACCAAGCCGACGAUCUGUAGCUGGUCUGAGAGGACGACCAGCCACACUGGGACUGAGACACGGCCCAGACUCCUACGGGAGGCAGCAGUGGGGAAUUUUGGACAAUGGGCGAAAGCCUGAUCCAGCCAUGCCGCGUGCAGGAUGAAGGCCUUCGGGUUGUAAACUGCUUUUGUACGGAACGAAAAGACUCUGGUUAAUACCUGGGGUCCAUGACGGUACCGUAAGAAUAAGCACCGGCUAACUACGUGCCAGCCGCCGCAGUAAUAC
rnacentral:rRNA from 1 species